GUAAGUCCUUGUAGCAAAAAAAUAUUUUUGGCUGGAUCAAAUAUUAAACCUGCUACUACAAAUUUCACGCUUUGCAUUCCUAAAGCAGAUGCCAAGUGACGAUGCCAAAAAUUAAUUGGAAAUAAUAGUGCUUGCCUUGUGUGCCGCAUCCAGCAGAGGGCACAACGGAUAAGUAAUGCGCGCCGUGCGGAACACGCCGCUGAUAAGGCUGUUGGUAAUUGCUUCGGUAAAAAUAUGUAGCAACAUGCUUGUGUGCUUAUUUACAUCUGGGGAUGUGUGCUGGAAUGGAGGGCUUAGAUUUGUAACUGUCCCCCCUACGCCCCGUUGACACAAAGGAGACUUUUUAGGUGUGAUCGCUUUCUCUUUUCAGGGGGGGAAUGUUGGAUUGUUGGGUUUGCUGCAUAAAGUACAGGGAACAGUUUUGGUGUUAUCUUGAAUUCAAAAUUCCAACCUUGACUGCUAAUAAGGAGGUGGUGCAUCUCACAGAGGAGUGUUUUCCAGCAAUAAUUUUGCACAGAUUGCCAUGGGAUGCCCCUGAUGUUGCUGAUCUCUUACUCCUGCCCUACUGGUGAGGUUCAGGAUGGAAACGCUUUUAUGGCUGAGUUGGACAGUGCCUCCAGAAGAGCCAAGGACUCCAGGCCAGCACUGACUCAGGACAGUCUCCGCUGUUGGCUGUGCUAGGACCCAUCUUUCAUAAAGAGUUUGGAGAGGAACAGACCCGAGACCGGCUUCAGUCUUGGCCCAUCAUUUCAGUACAAAGCACUUUUUGCAUAGUCCUUGCAGUUGCUCGGCCUUGGUUGUGCUGGCUUUUGCACCUCUUUGAACUUAAAUACAAAAUGAGCAUUGGUUUUGGAGAGGGAAUUUGGAUGCUUAGUUUUUCUUGUGUUACUUCUUUCGCAGUGGAGCCUGCUGAGAUAGAGCUUCCAGCCUUUGGGCACUGUGUGGCCCUUGCAGAGGAGAGCUUGGGCCGCAAAGAUUGGUGAUCAAGGGAGAUAGAUAGGAUGGAUGGAAGGAACCCAUUGGACUGUGGUUGGUUGCUCAAGGAGGAAAGUGGCUGCGGAGCCAUGGAGCGUCAAGCGUGAGAUCUGUGAUGUUCUGCCUUCAGCUAUCUCUACUUCCUCAUCACAGAGCAGGCAGCUUUUGGUUUGUGUUUUUUCUUUUUCUUUUCCUUUUUUUUUUUCCUAUGCUAUAUUUGCACACAAUUAUAGCAAGAUGCAAAUUAAGACCUCUCCAACCCCAUUUGUCAUUCUUUCUACCUGAUGAACUUCAUGUCAUUAAAAUGAGGACGAGGUGCCCAGAACCUGCCAAUUUCCACUGCAGAUCAGUUGUCAGAAAGCAAAAGCUUCUGUUCCUUUUCUUCAGACGGAUAAGUGAAAUGUGCAAGAGACCAUAAAUGAAGCUGAAAUAAUGGAAGAUCACUCAAAAAUUCUCCACGCUUUGGAAAGACUUAUACUCACAUUUGUAACGCUGAAGAAAGGAGAAUGCUAUGUAAGAAACAGGUUGCAGAAUAAGGACUUCUAUGUCUUAGUCCUAUCACUGCUCUAAACUUCCUGAAAAAAGAGCCCUUACUGACUGGUCUCUUUCCAGUGAAAUGAAAUUCCUUGUCCCCACUCCAGCAGAGCCACUUGGAGACAGCUUGUGAAAGGCAUUUCUGUCUGUGCAUGCAUGGUGCUGCUGCAUGCCUGGUUUGUGAACAGAAAGGGAAAUGCUUGGAUGGGCUUCCUAAAGAAAACAAAUUAAAAAAAAAACACGGUGCAGAGCUCUGAGAGCUGUGACUCUCUGGGCACAGAGAUGGUGUCCUUGCAGGAAGGGUGAUGGGAGCACUCACUGGCCCCACUGGUGCCCCAAAGUGGGAGCACAGAGCCAGUCCUGCUGCUUAGCACAUCUCUGCGAUUUAAGGGUGGUCGAGAGGGAGCUCAGCAGCAGUUUGUUUUUCUCUCUUGACUUUGUCCCAUUGCUGGGGUAUUUUGCUGAUGUGCUGGAGGACGCUAACACCUUGAUGGGCCCCAUCUGUUCCAGCGAGGAGAGUACAGCUGAAUGCUUCGAGGGUGCCCGGGUGCAGCUUGGGAACGCUCCUUGCUUUAUCCAUGGUGAAGCAGUUGGCAUCGGCCAAGCUCCCUGGCACCCGGAGGGGGGAAAUCCUGAGGUAAAUUCGAGUAGACAUGAUGUUAGAAAAGAACUAACCGUUAGGGCACGCCGGGGUCGCCAGGUCUCCCAGCAGGGACAGGUGCCUGCCACUCCGUGCAUGGCCGGCAGCCAAGGACUUAGCGGUGGGACUCAUGCCAGUCACGCAUGAAGAGCAGACACAAGGCUGGAGCUGGAGACAAUGAGUAGUUUCCUCCGCUUCUCCCUGCCUCACUGGUGCG
rnacentral:lncRNA from 1 species